GAUGAACGCUGGCGGCGUGCCUAAUACAUGCGAGUCGAGCGAACAGACGAGGAGCUUGCUCCUCGGACGUUAGCGGCGGACGGGUGAGUAACACGUGGAUAACCUACCUAUAAGACUGGGAUAACUUCGGGAAACCGGAGCUAAUACCGGAUAAUAUAUUGAACCGCAUGGUUCAAUAGUGAAAGACGGUUUUGCUGUCACUUAUAGAUGGAUCCGCGCCGCAUUAGCUAGUUGGUAAGGUAACGGCGUACCAAGGCGACGAUGCGUAGCCGACCUGAGAGGGUGAUCGGCCACACUGGAACUUGGACACGGUCCAGACUCCUACGGGAGGCAGCAGUAGGGAAUCUUCCGCAAUGGGCGAAAGCCUGACGGAGCAACGCCGCGUGAGUGAUGACGGCCUUCGGAUCGUAAAACUCUGUUAUUAGGGAAGAACAAAUGUGUAAGUAACUAUGCACGUCUUGACGGUACCUAAUCAGAAAGCCACGGCUAACUACGUG
rnacentral:rRNA from 1 species